ensembl:misc_RNA 7SK 7SK RNA
GGAUAUGAGGACAAUCUGGCUGCGACAUCCAUCACCCCGUUGAUUUGGCUGAUCUGGCUGGCUAGGCAGGUUUCCCCUUCCUCCCUCAUGGCUCCAUGUGUGUCCCUCCUGAAGUUACUCUCAGGAAACUCAGGUCGAAGAGGACAACCACCCGAUAUGUACUCUCCCUCUAGAACCUUCAAACAAACUCUCAAAAAUAGAAAAAGGUUAUAUGGGCUAGGACAAUCACCAAAUUAGUAGAUCGGACUU